AUUUGAUUUCUCUAUGAGCAACCUCCUUUGGUACGAGAUUUUUAACCGAAUUACUGAGACGUGAAGCCCCUUUCUCUGAAAGCUGGGUUUUGGGGCAGCGUUUUAAUUUUGCAUGACGGUUCCAGGUAAGGUGUGCCAAGUAUUUUUAGUUGCGUUGUUGCCUGGGUGUGUUGGGUUCUGGGUUGCUGGGUUUGUUGCCGACGGCUGUAACUGUUGAUUUUGUACCUACCGCAGCAGAAAGGCGUCAGGGGGAAGCUGGCCAUGUAAGAGUUAUUUUUUGGCACACUUAUCAGGAGAUUAAAAAGAAGCUGAUGGUAAUCUCGUACAGGCUUUGUACUGACGUGACUCCGGGCAUUUACUGACUGUACUUUAAAUGGAGUCUCAAGGACACGGAAUUGUGUGGCUUUGGGGCUUUUAAAUAUCAUCUCUCAAGCCUGCGUUCUGUGUGGCAUCUUACAUGGUGGUUCUCCAUAGGUCGUUCUUCUGACUAUGGUGUGGUACUCCUGAGCAGACCACUUUUUAUUCAUGUAUUAUUUAUCUCUUAUUUGUAUAGUUGCAUACCUCAUAUCUCAGUAUUCCUCAGUUCAUUUAACAUCACAACAGCCCUGUGAUGUAGAGAAAUAUAUUCAUCCCAUUUUACCAAUAAAGGUUUUAACAGUU